CCUGGGAGCCGCCUCCGGGAUCUGCAAGUCUGGAAAGGCCACGUUGUGGACCUUGGCGCAGAGGUUAUGGGGGGCGACCCGGGGCGGAUGGUUUCAGGAAAACUAGAACCCACCCUCAUGGCCUGAAAAACUGGAGAGAAGAGGAUCGCAGCAAUUUAAAGCCAUCGGCAAGGAUCACAGUCCUGGGGUCAGGUGACCAAAGCCAGUUUUUCAGCCCUUAACAAGGACCUGGCUUCACCCAGCCAAGCAUGAGUUAACGCAUCCAUUUUACACACGAACAAACUGAGACGCGGAGAUGAUCACAGCUUGUUGGUGGCGAACUCCGCUAGGGCCUUCUCUGCUACCCUAAGAAGGUCCGAGCGUAUGUUUUGGACCCCUUAACUCGGGAUACCGGUAAACGAAAAUUAAUAGGGUGUUGGAUGUUUUAAAUGUGUGCGGGAAUGUCAUUAUAUUGGCUAGGAUCAAACUUUAUUUGGACUUGUUUUGCACUUUUGUACACUUUAGUAAUUUUUAGUUUUAAUCAUAAAGGCGAGCACAACUGGUAUCUUUUUUUUUUUUUUUUGAGACAGGGCACCCAGGCUGGAGUGUAAUGCUGCGAUCUCGGCUCACUGCAACGUCUGCCUCCCGGAUUCAAGCGAUUCUCCUCCCUCAGCCUCCCGAGUAGCUGAGGGCGUGCCACCACGCCCGGCUGAUUUUUGUAUUUUUAGUAGAGACGGGGUUUCACCAUGUUGGCCAGGUUGGUCUCAAACUCCUGACCUCAAAUGAUCCGCCCGCCUCGGCCUCCCAGAGUGCUGGGAUUACAGGCGUGAGCCACCGCGCCAGGCCAACUGGUAUCUUAAGGCUUAGGGCCUCUUAUAGUAGUGAGCUCCACCUCCCUUCCUGUGUAGAAGGUAAAUGCAUUCAUUCAGUGAAUCGAGCAUGCAUGAAAUCGUUUACACACACCCAGAAGACCACCUGCGAGCCACAGGAGCAGCCAUUCCAGGAAGCCAAGCUAUAAUGGGAGACGCAAGGAAUGGAGGCGAAGCUCCUGUUUUUAAGUCCUAGCUCCAACACUAGCCUUGUCAGCCCCCCAUUCUGAAUUACUGGGCGCCUCUGAGCCUUCUUGCCUCAUCUGCAAAUCGGGAACAACGGCAUAGAGUUGGUGAAUGCAUCAAGUGGGAUGAUGUCUGCAAAUACGCAACCCGCUUACACAAAGAAUUAUCUUUCCAUAACCUUCCAGGGGAGGCCAGCAGGGAAUCAUAGCACCCCUUUGUUUCUAGAGCCCGGAAAUCACUGGGAUUUCCCUCUGUCUGGAGCAGAGCUGGGUGCGAAUCUGCCCAACGGGUGGCAGGAACACCAGGAGCAGGAUAUUAAGGAGCGGACGAGCUGGCCAAGCAUGCGCAGUAGCAGCGGGUUGGUUUGAGAAGCCGCCAGGGAGCCAGCGCGGCGACCUAGCUGCCUGGGGCAGGGGAGCGGCCCGCCUUAUAUGGGAGCUGCAUGGGGACAAACUGCGCGGGCUCAACGCGCGGGGUUGAGAGACCGCCACGCCUGCUCCAGGUCACUCCGGCCACCUGGGGGGCGUCAGCGUGCAGACGCUGGCCAGUUCAGUAUUCAAACUUUUCAGGAGUGCUAGCUUACUCAUGACAGCUAUUUUCUGUAUCGGGGUUUCAUUGGUCGGUGGUUUAGAAGGUUUUGCUCAUUCAUUUGUUAAUGUAAUUCCAACAACCUACACGUGUUUAUAAGCCCCCUUUCCAUCCACGACUUUGCCGUCUGACACAAAAUGGACCACCGCAGCCCGGCAGACGCUUUAGACAACAAACAGCAUGCCUGGAGCUUUUCAAUAGGAGGCAGUAAGGCUUGAGCAUCUCAGACUAUACGGAACGGGCACUUUCUUAGCAGGAAAUAUUUCUAUUGGAGCAUGAAGGAAGUUUCUGAAAGGGAAGAUUAUUAUAAGAGAUUUGCUCAUCUUCUCAAACUUUAGUGUGCCUACUUUAAAGUGCUUCGCAAACUUGAAUGUUUAAAGGGAUCACCUGGCGGUCUUGUGAAACUGCAGCUUCUAAUGGGCAGGUCGGAGGGGAAGCCUGAGACGUGGCAUUUCCAGCACGUUCGGGGAGUGAAGAUGCUGCCGGCUGCCACCCUCCCUGCAAGGAGCCAGGGGAUAGAUGACCUCUACGCAAACUGUGAGAGCUUAAAAUACUGAUAGUGAGAAACAGUUACAGAAGCUCCAGGCCGGGCACGGUGGCUAAUGCCUGUAAUCCCAGCACUUUGGGAGGCCGAGGAGGAUGGAUUGCCAGAACUCAGGAGUUCGAGACCAGCCUGGGCAACACGGUAAAACCCUGUCUCUACGACAAAACAAAACAAACAAAAAUAAAAGCCACGCAUGGUGGCGUGUGCUUGUAGUCCCAGCUACUCAGGAGGCUGAGGUGGGACAACUGCUUGAGCAUGGGAGGCGGAGGUUGCGCCAAGAUCACACCACUGGACUCCAACCUGAGUGACAGAGUGAGACCCAAUCUCAAAAAAAAAAGCUGUAAAUCCAGGGCCCAAAAGCUCCCCUCAAUGGGAAGUGGAAUCACUUUCUUCACCUCUUCGAUAUGGCUGGCCCUGGAACUUCCCUUGGCACACAGAAUGCAGCAGAAUUGGCUUCAUAUUGUUUCUAAGCCUUGGCCUCGGAGGCCUUGCAUGCUUCCUAACCCUGGCUCUAGGAAGCUUGUUGCUGUCAUGUAAGCAAGCCCAGGCUAACCUGCUGAAUGUUGGUGUGUCCCAGUCAAAUCCAGCACUGCAACCAAUAGCCAGCCAGCCACCAGACAUGUGAGUGGGGCCACCUCACACCAGCCAACCUCCACCAAGUCAUCAGAUGUAUGAGUGAGAAAAGCCCAGAAUGACUGAGCCCGUCCAGACCAGCGGAAUGACCAAGCUGACCAGUAGACUUAGGAGCAGUAACCAGAUGAUUGUUAUGGAAGCCAUUCCGUUUAAGGUGUGUGUGUUCUUGCUUGCAUCCAAAUACAUCCUAUCUCAUCUAAUGAGAAAAGGCCCUGCUCAAGGGCUUUUGCAGCUGUAGUUGGGCGCCGGAAGUGUCUUUGUGGUCAUUUCUUACUCUAUACACGAGGAGAUCAAGGCUCAGACCAGCUAGUGUGACUGUGGAUGACAUUUUCCUUACCCCUCUGUGGCACUUACAUCAAUGAAGCAGAUUCACAGAAGCGUGCAUGCUCACUGAACACAGUAUUUGCAUUCCUACCUCCAAACCUUUGCUCCACCCAUGCAUCCAGUAAGAAUGCCUACUUCCCUCUCCUCCAUCGAAUUCUUUCUUUGAGUUCUACCUUCUCUAGUCUUCCUCCACUGCACCAACCCACGGUGAUCUCUGUCUCUUCCAAAUGCUUUGUAACAUGGUAGGCACCACUCACUUGUGACUCAUUGGACCAUUUUAAAACUUGGUUUUCUGUGUCUCUUUUCCAACAAAAUUACAAAUUCUUUGAGGGUAAAAGCAGGCCUAAUAGUUCUCUUUACUCCUAGUAGUGCCAGUGUGGUAAAAAUUUAACUUGACAAUUAGCAAAACCAAUAAAUUCAUUACACUAUUCUGUUCCUGUAGGUAAUCAGUAUA